AACGAACGCUGGCGGCAUGCCUAACACAUGCAAGUCGAACGAGACCUUCGGGUCUAGUGGCGCACGGGUGCGUAACGCGUGGGAACCUGCCCUUAGGUUCGGAAUAACUCCCCGAAGGGGGUGCUAAUACCGGAUAAUGUCAUCGGACCAAAGAUUUAUCGCCUUUGGAUGGGCCCGCGUUGGAUUAGCUAGUUGGUAGGGUAAAAGCCUACCAAGGCGACGAUCCAUAGCUGGUCGGAGAGGAUGAUCAGCUACACUGGGACUGAGACACGGCCCAGACUCGUACGGGAGGCAGCAGUGUGGAAUAUUGGACAAGGGGCGAAAGUCUGAUACAGCAAUGCCGCGUGAGUGAGGAAGGCCGUAGGGUUGUAAAGCUCUCUGACCCGGGAUGAUAAUGACAGUACCGGGAGAAUAAGCUCCGGCUAACUCCGUG
rnacentral:rRNA from 1 species